AAGCGUUGAUGAUCCGAUCGUGGGCUGC
rnacentral:sRNA from 1 species